AACGCCUGUUCUGCUGGU
rnacentral:misc_RNA from 1 species